GCCGCCGCGUUCUGGGUGUUUUUUCUUUUUGGGAGGCCGGCCUGCUGCCAUGCAAACCUAUCCCCCGCCGCACCCCGCUGUAGCCUCGCCGCCUCCAACCCUGCCCUCGCCGGGGCUGCCUCCCGAGGCUGCGGGAUGCUGAGCGUCACACGGGGAGCCGGGCCUGCCAGCCUGCUGGGGCCGAGGUGCGGGAUCCACGUCGGCCACAUGCGCAGUGAGAGUGGCCAGAACCCGUCAGGGUGACGCCCUUCUCCCGCCUUGGCCUGCGCGGCCCUGCGCCCCGGUGACGGCUGUGCCAGAUGGAGACUGCAGGAUGACUGAAGUUGCUUUCUGGUGAGUGAGGACUCGGGUCUUGACAGCGAUGGAGCACAGCAGCCUCAGGACCAGGUUGCUUCAAGUUUCCUGGCGGUAUCUGAUAAUGAAGAAUCUGAGGAUGCCAGCUUGCUGCUAUUGCUGUGCUUUAGAAUAAGAGUGUUACCAGGAAGCUGUGUUCAUCUGUGAUUGUGGAUCCAGAGAACUGGGAGAGAAGUGGUACAAGAAGAGGCAAGCUAAGACAACAGGUUAUUUUAGGUGGGAAUGGUGACUUUUUUUUUUUGUUUGCUAAUGCUGGUACAUGGCAUCUAAAUGACCAAUAAAAGACUAUGAAAAUA